UACGAAGGGGGCUAGCGUUGCUCGGAAUGACUGGGCGUAAAGGGCGCGUAGGCGGCUUGCACCGUCAGAUGUGAAAUUCCUGGGCUUAACCUGGGGGCUGCAUUUGAUACGUGUGGGCUUGAGUGCGGAAGAGGGUCGUGGAAUUCCCAGUGUAGAGGUGAAAUUCGUAGAUAUUGGGAAGAACACCGGUGGCGAAGGCGGCGACCUGGUCCGUGACUGACGCUGAGGCGCGAAAGCCAGGGGAGCAAACGGGG
rnacentral:rRNA from 1 species